UACGUAGGGGGCAAGCGUUGUCCGGAUUUACUGGGUUUAAAGGGUGCGUAGGUGGAUAAGAAAGUCAGUGGUGAAAUCUUCGGGCUUAACCCGGAAACUGCCAUUGAUACUAUUUAUCUUGAAUACUCUGGAGGUAAGCGGAAUAUGUCAUGUAGCGGUGAAAUGCUUAGAUAUGACAUAGAACACCUAUGGCGAAGGCAGCUCUCUGGGACGGUACUGACGCUGAGACGCGAAAGCGUGGGGAGCGAACAGG
rnacentral:rRNA from 1 species